UUAUGGCUCAGGAUGAACGCUGGCGGCGUGCUUAACACAUGCAAGUCGAACGGUGAAGCAGAGCUUGCUCUGUGGAUCAGUGGCGAACGGGUGAGUAACACGUGAGCAACCUGCCCCUGACUCUGGGAUAAGCGCUGGAAACGGCGCUCUAAUACUGGAUAUGUGACGUGACCGCAUGGUCUGCGUCUGGAAAGAAUUUCGGUUGGGGAUGGGCUCGCGGCCUAUCAGCUUGUUGGUGAGGUAAUGGCUCACCAAGGCGUCGACGGGUAGCCGGCCUGAGAGGGUGACCGGCCACACUGGGACUGAGACACGGCCCAGACUCCUACGGGAGGCAGCAGUGGGGAAUAUUGCACAAUGGGCGGAAGCCUGAUGCAGCAACGCCGCGUGAGGGAUGACGGCCUUCGGGUUGUAAACCUCUUUUAGCAGGGAAGAAGCGAAAGUGACGGUACCUGCAGAAAAAGCGCCGGCUAACUACGUGCCAGCAGCCGCGGUAAUACGUAGGGCGCAAGCGUUAUCCGGAAUUAUUGGGCGUAAAGAGCUCGUAGGCGGUUUGUCGCGUCUGCUGUGAAAUCCGGAGGCUCAACCUCCGGCCUGCAGUGGGUACGGGCAGACUAGAGUGCGGUAGGGGAGAUUGGAAUUCCUGGUGUAGCGGUGGAAUGCGCAGAUAUCAGGAGGAACACCGAUGGCGAAGGCAGAUCUCUGGGCCGUAACUGACGCUGAGGCAAAGAAGGGUGGGGAGCAAACAGGCUUAGAUACCCUGGUAGUCCACCCCGUAAACGUUGGGAACUA
rnacentral:rRNA from 1 species